UGCAGUCGAGCGGUAACAGGAGAAGCUUGCUUCUCGCUGACGAGCGGCGGACGGGUGAGUAAUACUUAGGAAUCUACCUAGUAGUGGGGGAUAGCUCGGGGAAACUCGAAUUAAUACCGCAUACGACCUACGGGAGAAAGGGGGCAACUUGUUGCUCUCGCUAUUAGAUGAGCCUAAGUCGGAUUAGCUAGAUGGUGGGGUAAAGGCCUACCAUGGCGACGAUCUGUAGCUGGUCUGAGAGGAUGAUCAGCCACACCGGGACUGAGACACGGCCCGGACUCCUACGGGAGGCAGCAGUGGGGAAUAUUGGACAAUGGGGGCAACCCUGAUCCAGCCAUGCCGCGUGUGUGAAGAAGGCCUUUUGGUUGUAAAGCACUUUAAGCAGUGAAGAAGACUCCAUGGUUAAUACCCAUGGACGAUGACAUUAGCUGCAGAAUAAGCACCGGCUAACUCUGUGCCAGCAGC
rnacentral:rRNA from 1 species